CCUAUUACUAAACCAAUGCCUGCCCAUUUCCCUCCUAAAUCUAUACUUUUCUAAUUUACGUCAAUUACUGCAUGUUCUAUCUUGCCAAACAUCUUAUGCAAAAGUUAACCAGCAUCUUCACUCUUUCAUCCCUUACACUGAUAAACUCUGGAACAGCCUUCCUUCGUCUGCAUUUCCUCCUGCCUAUAAUUUGACCUUCAAGAAGAGUGUAUCAAGACUCUACUUUUGUCUGUUUGGGAGCGGUGAGUAGCGGGGCUUUUUUUUCUAGUACGCUUUGUUGCCCUUGAGCUGUCUCCUUUGUUUAAAGAAAAUAAUAAUUAAAUAAAUAGAAGUUGGCCGCCAAUGCUUCCAACACAUUUUGGUGCCAUAUCUACAAGUGGCUGGUGACUGUAAGUAUCUCAGCAACCUGCAUGCAUCUAUGCCAUUCCUAUCACGGUGCAUGGAGCAAGCUUCACAUAACACUCAGACAGAGACAGUUCAAUUAUGGUUAUAUUUCAGACUCAGUUUAUUGCUCAGUCUAUUAGGUGCAGUGCUGUUAAUAUUGUUAGUGGUAGUAUUAGUACAGUUAAUGUAUUUAUUUUCAUUAAUUUAUCAAUAUUUAUUUAUUAUAUUAUUAGUGUUUGAAAAUUCUAAUACUAGUAUUAAGAUAAACAAAAAUAUCAGAAAUAUAUUUAUACUCAUUAAUUAUUAUUGCUUUUCUUAUUAUUAAUUCCUUCAAUGUCCUGGCACUUUGACAUCUAGUGCUUUUCCGUCUAGCAGCCAAAAUUGUGGUCUUUCUGAAUGUGUAUGUCCUAAGUCUUCAUUGGUGUAACUAGCUAUAUAACAUCAAAAUCUGCAUCUCUCUCCCUUCUCACCCAGUUGUCCCCGUACAUCCUUUCAGUAUCCAAAGAAUUUCAAUUUACAUCUUGUAAUCACUUAACUAAUGCAGUGCAAUCCUCAUCUCUGUAUUUUACCGUGUGGACAUACUCUUUCCUUCCAUGUUCCACUGUCGUAUGUUAUUCCACAUCUAACACAACCACAUCCCAACAGAUCCAAACACGUUCGAUAUCAUCCAAGAGAAUGUGGCAGCUGAAGGGGAGAGUCCAAGAAAGAGGCCAAGGGUGAAGACAUUUAGCCACCCCCUGAAGUACAUGGCAGCAUCCAACCCUCUUGCUGAGCUGCAGGAAUGUGCUCCCCAUUGCAGUGCACCAGCUCCAUGUAUUGAUUUUGGGUGUGAACUUGAUGGGGUUGGAGGAAACUCGACUCGGCCAUCAAGCUCACCACAAUAUAACAUGAAAAGUGAAAAUUGCUGCACACAACAGUCUGUCGUCUGCACCGGGAGGCAAGGCAGCUCAAAGCCCAGGCUGUUACAACUCCUGGGCAGUUUUUGCCCAGAGCCAGCAAUUUUUUAGAUCCAAUAGGGAUGGAUUUUUUCUGAGGUCAGGUUCAACAUGCUGCAAGAUGCCAAGAUCUAAGCCUAGUAGGAGAUAUGGGUUACAAGAGAGGAGGUUUGCUCUGGCCUUAUACUAUCAAAGUCCAAAUGCUAAUAGAUUUCUAAGCACAGUAUUUCACUUGCCUUCAGUUUCAACACUUCACUCAUGACUCAGGGGUAUUUCAGUAAAUGUUGGCUGGAGCAAACAGACUCUGACAGCCCUGCAGCAAAGAGCACAGGCUUUGUCAAAAGAAGAGAUACUUCGUGGGAUUUGCCAUUAUUUAGUAUUACUCUUGUUACGCCAAGAAAUUUUUUCCAUAUACUUUGCCAAAUAUUGCAAGUAAUGCACCAUUGUUGGUCUUGCCUGUUAUAAAUCAGAUCUUGUUCAAUUAACAAGCUUUGGGUGUCUGCCACUUUCCAGUUGUAAUGCAAGGAAUCAUUUAUCUUCCCUGCCAGAUAUCACACGUAAUGCACCAUUGUUGGUUUUGCCUGUUAUAAAUCAGAUCUUGUUCAGUUAACAAGCUUUAGGUGUCUGCCACUUUCCAGUUGUAAUGCAAGGAAUCCCCUGCCAGAUAUCGCAUGUAAUGCACCAUUGUUGGUUUUGCCUGUUAUAAAUCAGAUCUUGUUCAGCUCACAAGCUUUGAAUAUCUGCCAUUGUUUAUUUCAGGUGUAAUGCUUGGAAGCAUUUGUUCUCUUCCCUACCCAACAGUAUGCAAUGCUUUAUUGUGGAUUUUGCCUGUUAUAUUUAAUCUUGUUCAGGUAACAAGCUUUUGGUGUCUGCCUUACCUAAUAUGUGCUGCAGUGACACUUGGCUUGGUUUCAUAAUGUGAAAUACAGCAUGUAAUUUCAUCACAUUAAGUGUCUAUCAUCACGUGUCUGGCAUCAUUAAUGUGGCUUCCAGGAGUAAUCUUGUUUGUAUUACAGCAUGCAAUUUUUUUCUGCUUUAUAUGAUAUACAUAAUCACAUAGGU